rnacentral:rRNA from 1 species
CACGUAGGGUGCGAGCGUUGUCCGGAAUUACUGGGCGUAAAGGGCGCGUAGGCGGCCUGCUAAGUCACACGUGAAAUCCCUCGGCUCAACCGGGGGAACUGCGUGUGAUACUGGCGGGCUUGAAUUCGGGAGAGGGAUGUGGAAUUCCAGGUGUAGCGGUGAAAUGCGUAGAUAUCUGGAGGAACACCGGUGGCGAAGGCGGCGAUCCUGGACCGAGAUUGACGCUGAGGCGCGAAAGCUAGGGGAGCAAACGGG